rnacentral:rRNA from 1 species
GAUGAACGCUGGCGGCGUGCCUAAUACAUGCCAGUCGAGCGAACAGACGAGGAGCUUGCUCCUCUGACGUUAGCGGCGGACGGGUGAGUAACACGUGGAUAACCUACCUAUAAGACUGGGAUAACUUCGGGAAACCGGAGCUAAUACCGGAUAAUAUAUUGAACCGCAUGGUUCAAUAGUGAAAUACGGUUUUGCUGUCACUUAUAGAUGGAUCCGCGCCGCAUUAGCUAGUUGGUAAGGUAACGGCUUACCAAGGCGACGAUGCGUAGCCGACCUGAGAGGGUGAUCGGCCACACUGGAACUGAGACACGGUCCAGACUCCUACGGGAGGCAGCAGUAGGGAAUCUUCCGCAAUGGGCGAAAGCCUGACGGAGCAACGCCGAGUGAGUGAUGAAGGUCUUCGGAUCGUAAAACUCUGUUAUUAGGGAAGAACAAAUGUGUAAGUAACUAUGCACGUCUUGACGGUACCUAAUCAGAAAGCCACGGCUAACUACGUG